rnacentral:rRNA from 1 species
AUCGUUUUAAUUUUUAACUCUAAUUAUUGUGGCAUUUUUUUAUCUUUUUUAUCUUUUAUUUUAAUUUUUUUUGUAAAAUAUUUUAAUUUUUAUUUUUCUUUGGAAAAAUGUUUAAAAUUUGUUUUAUUGAACUGGAUUAGUACCCAGGUAAUCAAAGUUUAUUAAUUCGGGAGUAAAGUUUUAUUUAAACCGAAAAAAUAUUGACUGACUUUGGAUUUUUUUUUGGAACAUGUGUAUGGAGAGCCCUCUUUAGUAGUAAAUUUUUUUUUGCACAUGUAUGAUUGUUUAGUUUUUAUGUUUUUUUGUAAUGCUUUUUUGGGAUUUAGAACAGAUAUAUAUUUGGCUUAUGGGUUUAUUAAUCAUGUGUUACUAUUAGAAAUAUUUUUUGGAUGAUUUUUUUAGUUUGUAUCUGAAAUUGGACAAAAAAGUAAUUAUUUUUUUAUGUGUUGAUGAAUUUAAUAAACAAA